UCAGAGAAAAAGAGAUUUUUAU
rnacentral:miRNA from 1 species